rnacentral:lncRNA from 1 species
GGCCCUGCUGGGCCCGGCGAAGAUCUGGGCUCUACGCUCCUGGUGCUGCGGUCCCGCCUGAGUCCGUUUGCGCGUGUAAACGACCUGCCGUCCGCCGUGCGUGGCUUUCCUCGUGGCCCCAAGAGCUACGGCCCGGGGUAGACGUGACUCGAAGACCUUGGGAAGCUGCGCGCGACGGGGAAGGGGCAGCUGUGACCCAGGCCCAGGGGAGCCCCAGCUCCGAGGACUCCACAGCGCGAGGGACAGGCGGCUCAGCCACCAACAGUAGGGGUAGUUUCGGCCCCCCACGCCCUUGCCUGCUGGGAGAUCCUGGCUCAGGGUGGCACAGAGCCCCACCGUGCUCCGCGGGGACCAGAGACCCAAGGGACAGAGGACAGCUACUCAUUAAAACAUGUUCUGCUGUCACAGACACAAGGACCUCACCCGCUGGUGGGCACAGUGGCAUUCACCAAACGAGGGCCCGGGUUCUGACGCCGGCGGUCGGUCCAGCCCCUCAGCUACUGGCCAGCAGUGGGCCGUGGGCAGUGUGAUUGCCUGCUGAGUACCAGCCGCUCCCUGCAAGCUGAACCAGGUGGGCUCCGGAAGUCAGAAGUGACCUGCAGGCCAGAGCAGGAAGUGGUCAGGGGCCAAGAGAGGCUGUGCUGUCCCAUGGCCCUGCCCUUCUGCCACCUGGCUGCACAAGGCCAAGCUAACCUGGCCAGGCACUGCAGAGCCUGUCCCCCCCUGCAUGCAGUGCCCCCUUGCCCACCCUCGUCCCCACCCUACCCCACUGGUCUCUCUGGCCUGGUGGAGUUGCCACUGAGGCAAAAGACAGAACAAAACUAGGUGAAGGCUGAAUGUGUAGUGGCGCAAGCCUGUAAUCCCAACACUCUGGAGGCUGAGGCAGGAAGAUUGCAAGUUCAAGCCCAGCCUGGGCAACUUAAUGCCUUGGCGAGACCCUGCCUCAAAAUAAAAAAUUUAAAAAGGGCCAAGGAUGUAGCUCAGUUUGGAGGCCCUGGGUUCAGUGCCCAGUACCACAAAAAUAGUGCCAAACCUAUGAUUUUUACAAAUCCUAGAAGCCACACACAGACUACGCCGAAGACGGCGCCCUGGCGCAGAGUCUGUACAGAGGCUGCGGCCUGGUGGUUUUCACACCGGACACUUGGUGUCUCAUCUUUCCAACCCGCAG